AGUACCCUAUCUUCAUUCUGACAUACAACAAAAUGAUAAAAAGAAUUCAAACUUAAGGGAUUGUAUUUGCUUUUUGACUGUUCAAAACAGAGAGCCUACAAAUGUAUGUCUAUCAGAAUGUAAUCGACAAAUUAAAAAAAUGUGCCUAGGGGUCACUCACUACUUCAAUUCACAGAAUAAAAUAUGAUAAAAUUAUUAUUAUAGUGCAAAUUUAAAACCAAAAUACCAAUUUAAUAUAAAGCAGCACUAAAAUUGUAAUAUGUAGGAUUGAACCAGACACUUCCUGUUUCACCCAGAGCACAUCAUUUUAAAAUGCCACAAAUGAAAGUGCGUGUAUAUCAAAAGAGACACAGCACAAAUUCUGCAUGCAGU
rnacentral:misc_RNA from 1 species